rnacentral:rRNA from 1 species
GGCCUAUUGAUUAUAAUUUUAGGUCGUACCUGCUCUAUGAGUAUUUAAAUGGCCGCGGUAUAUUGACCGUGCAAAGGUAGCAUAAUCAUUAGUUUUUUAAUUGGAAGCUUGUAUGAAAGGUUUAAUGAGAAAAUAGCUGUCUCUGAUAAAAUUUUAUUAGAAUUUUAUUUUUAAGUUAGAAAGCUUAAAUUUUUAUAGAAGACGAGAAGACCCUAUAGAGUUUUAUAUUUAUUUUAAUAUAAAUUUAUAAGUAUUAAAAAUUUAUUUUAAUAUAAAUAUUUAGUUGGGGUGAUUAAAAAAUUUAUUAAACUUUUUUUUUAUAGAGACACAAAUAUGUGAAAAGAUGAUCCUUAUAUAAAGAUUAAAAAAUUAAAUUACCUUAGGGAUAACAGCGUAAUCUUCUUUAGAGUUCUGAUCGAAUAGAAGGGUUGCGACCUCGAUGUUGGAUUAAAAUGAAUUUAUGGUGUAGAUGCUAUAUAAUUAGGUCUGUUCGACCUUUAAAAUUUUACAUGAUCUGAGUUUAAACCGGUGUGAG